rfam:Candidate division BRC1 bacterium SM23_51 WORSMTZ_26359, whole genome shotgun sequence.
UGAUCGGAGAGUUUGAUCCUGGCUCAGAACGAACGCUGGCGGCGUGGAUUAGGCAUGCAAGUCGAGCGCGAACGGUGGAAGUUUCGGGGGCUUGCUCCCGAAGCGGAAACCUAGUAGAGCGGCGAACGGGUGAGUAGAAGGUGGGUAAUGUGCCCUCGGGCGGGGGAUAACCCGCUGAAAGGCGGGCUAAUACCGCAUACGUUCUCGCAGUCCACGGAACGCGGGAAGAAAGGCGCACGCAAUUCUGUGUGUGUUGCCCGAGGAUCGGCCCACCCCCCAUUAGCUUGUUGGUAGGGUCAUGGCCUACCAAGGCACCGAUGGGUAGCUGGUCUGAGAGGAUGGUCAGCCACACUGGGACUGAGAUACGGCCCAGACUCCUACGGGAGGCAGCAGUCUAGAGGCUUCGGCAAUGCCCGAAAGGGUGACCGAGCGACGCCGCGUGUGGGAUGAAGGCCUUCGGGUUGUAAACCACUGUCAGGAGGGAAGAAUGCCCGGAUGGAGAAUCCGGGAGCGACGGUACCUCCAGAGGAAGCCCCGGCCAACUCCGUGCCAGCAGCCGCGGUAAUACGGAGGGGGCAAGCGUUGUUCGGAUUUACUGGGCGUAAAGGGCGCGUAGGCGGGAUGGCCGGUCCGCUGUGAAAGUGCUACCGCUCAACGGAGCAAAGUCAGCGGAUACCACCAUUCUUGAGACCGGGAGAGGUGGGUGGAAUUGCUGGUGUAGCGGUGGAAUGUAUAGAUAUCAGCAAGAACACCGGUGGCGAAGGCGGCUCACUGGCCCGGUUCUGACGCUGAGUGCGCGAAAGCGUGGGGAGCAAACGGGAUUAGAUACCCCGGUAGUCCACGCCCUAAACGGUGGGCACUAGGUGUGGGAGGUAUCGACCCCUCCCGUGCCGCAGCUAACGCAUUAAGUGCCCCGCCUGGGGAGUACGACCGCAAGGUUGAAACUCAAAGGAAUUGACGGGGGCCCGCACAAGCGGUGGAGCAUGUGGUUCAAUUCG